rnacentral:rRNA from 1 species
GAGAAUUGCUAGCUUGCUAAUAAUUCUCUAGUGGCGCACGGGUGAGUAACACGUGAGUACCUGCCCCCGAGAGCGGGAUAGCCCUGGGAAACUGGGAUUAAUACCGCAUAGUGAAAUAAAGCAGCAAUGCGCUUGGGGAUGGGCUCGCGGCCUAUUAGUUAGUUGGUGAGGUAACGGCUCACCAAGGCGAUGACGGGUAGCCGGUCUGAGAGGAUGUCCGGCCACACUGGAACUGAGACACGGUCCAGACACCUACGGGUGGCAGCAGUCGAGAAUCAUUCACAAUGGGGGAAACCCUGAUGGUGCGACGCCGCGUGGGGGAUAAGGUCUUCGGAUUGUAAACCCCUGUCAUGUGGGACAUUAAAAAGAUAGUACCACAAGAGGAAGAGACGGCUAACUUUGUGCCAGCAGCCGCGGUAAUACAGAGGUCUCAAGCGUUGUUCGGAAUCACUGGGCGUAAAGCGUGCG